rnacentral:rRNA from 1 species
GACGUAGGAGGCGAGCGUUAUCCGGAUUCACUGGGCGUAAAGCGCAUGUAGGCGGUUGCCCAAGUCCGUUGUUAAAGCCCCUGGCUCAACUGGGGGAGGUCAAUGGAGACUGUGCGACUUGAGGGCAAUAGAGGCACGUGGAACUCCCGGUGUAGCGGUGGAAUGCGUAGAGAUCGGGAAGAACACCAGUGGCGAAGGCGACGUGCUGGGUUGCACCUGACGCUGAGGCACGAAGGUCAGGGGAGCAAACGGG